UACGAAGGGGGCUAGCGUUGCUCGGAAUCACUGGGCGUAAAGCGCACGUAGGCGGAUUGCUAAGUCAGGGGUGAAAUCCUGGAGCUCAACUCCAGAACUGCCUUUGAUACUGGCGAUCUUGAGUCCGGGAGAGGUGAGUGGAACUGCGAGUGUAGAGGUGAAAUUCGUAGAUAUUCGCAAGAACACCAGUGGCGAAGGCGGCUCACUGGCCCGGUGCUGACGCUGAGGCACGAAAGCGUGGGGAGCAAACAGG
rnacentral:rRNA from 1 species